rnacentral:misc_RNA from 1 species
GAAAUGCGAUAAGUAAUGUGAAUUGCAGAAUUCCGUGAAUCAUCGAAUCUUUGAACGCACAUUGCGCCCUCUGGCAUUCCGGGGGGCAUGCCUGUCCGAGCGUCAUUACGCACCCUCAAGCCCGGCUUGUGUGAUGGGCCCCGCCGUCUCGUUCGCGAGACGGGCCCGAAAGGCAGCGGCGGCGUCGACCACGAGCGCAGCAGAAACGCGAACUCGUGAGCCCGUCCGGGCGGCUCCCAGAAGCUACACCCACCCAGUUUGACCUCGGAUCAGGUAGGGAUACCCGCUGAACUUAAGC